UACGAAGGGGGCUAGCGUUGCUCGGAAUCACUGGGCGUAAAGCGUGCGCAGGCGGUUUGUUAAGACAGAUGUGAAAUCCCCGGGCUUAACCUGGGAACUGCAUUUGUGACUGGCAAGCUAGAGUAUGGCAGAGGGGGGUAGAAUUCCACGUGUAGCAGUGAAAUGCGUAGAGAUGUGGAGGAAUACCGAUGGCGAAGGCAGCCCCCCUGGGCCAAUACUGACGCUCAUGCACGAAAGCGUGAGGAGCAAACAGG
rnacentral:rRNA from 1 species